GAUCAUGGCUCAGGACGAACGCUGGCGGCGCGCCUAACACAUGCAAGUCGAACGAGAGAGAGGGAGCUUGCUUCCUUGAUCGAGUGGCGAACGGGUGAGUAACGCGUGAGGAACCUGCCUCACACAGGGGGAUAACAGUUAGAAAUGACUGCUAAUACCGCAUAAGCGCACAGUACCGCAUGGUACAGUGUGAAAAACUCCGGUGGUGUGAGAUGGAUCCGCGU
rnacentral:rRNA from 1 species